rnacentral:rRNA from 1 species
UAUGGAUCUCAGAUUGAGUAAGACUACCCGCUGAAUUUAAGCAUAUAAUUAAGCGGAGGAAAAGAAACUAACAAGGAUUCCCUUAGUAACGGCGAGUGAAGCGGGAUGAGCUCACCAUGUGAAUCUGCGCAACCAGCAAUGGUGCGCCGAAUUGUGGUCUGAAGAAGUAUCGUCGACCGCGUACCCGGGCCAAGUCUCUUGGAAAAGGGCAGCUGAGAGGGUGAAACUCCCGUUCUUGCCUGGGUACGUUGCGUCAUAGCAUGAUCUUUCUAUGAGUCGAGUUGCUUGGGAUUGCAGCUCAAAUUUGGUGGUAAAUUCCAUCUAAAGCUAAAUAUUGGUGGGACACCGAUAGUGUACAAGUACCGUGAGGGAAAGAUGCAAAGAACUUUGAAAAGAGAGUUAAAGAGUACCUGAAAUUGUUAAAAGGGAAGCGAAGGAAUCCAGUGUAAAGCGAAGCCAUUCUUCUCAAGCCACUUGUGGUUUGGGCGCUGUGGUUAGCUGUACUAAUUCUGGGCUUGACCUGGGACAAACGUUUAGUAAGUAGACGACUCCUCGGAGUGAGUGCUUGCUCUUCAUGUUCUGGGUCGGGCUGAGGUCAGUCACUCUGUGCUCGUGAUGAAUUAGGAAAUGGAUUUCUUUACCCCGUCUUGAAACACGGACCAAGGAGUCUAA